UAGGGAAUCUUCGGCAAUGGACGAAAGUCUGACCGAGCAACGCCGCGUGAGUGAAGAAGGUUUUCGGAUCGUAAAACUCUGUUGUUAGAGAAGAACAAGGACGUUAGUAACUGAACGUCCCCUGACGGUAUCUAACCAGAAAGCCACGGCUAACUACGUGCCAGCAGCCGCGGUAAUACGUAGGUGGCAAGCGUUGUCCGGAUUUAUUGGGCGUAAAGCGAGCGCAGGCGGUUUCUUAAGUCUGAUGUGAAAGCCCCCGGCUCAACCGGGGAGGGUCAUUGGAAACUGGGAGACUUGAGUGCAGAAGAGGGGAGUGGAAUUCCAUGUGUAGCGGUGAAAUGCGUAGAUAUAUGGGGGAACACCAGUGGCGAAGGCGGCUCUCUGGGCUGUAACUGACGCUGAGGCUCGAAAGCGUGGGGAGCAAACAGG
rnacentral:rRNA from 1 species